rnacentral:misc_RNA from 1 species
UCCGGUUUGUCACCGGCAGUCUCCUUAGAGUUCCCGCCAUUACGCGCUGGCAACUAAGGACAAGGGUUGCGCUCGUUGCGGGACUUAACCCAACAUCUCACGACACGAGCUGACGACAGCCAUGCAGCACCUGUGUUACCGUUCUCUUUCGAGCACUAAACCAUCUCUGGUAACUUCUAGACAUGUCAAGGGUAGGUAAGGUUUUUCGCGUUGCAUCGAAUUAAACCACAUCAUCCACCGCUUGUGCGGGUCCCCGUCAAUUCCUUUGAGUUUUAACCUUGCGGCCGUACUCCCCAGGCGGUCGACUUCACGCGUUAGCUUUGUUACUGAGAGUGUCAAACCCCCAACAACCAGUCGACAUCGUUUAGGGCGUGGACUAC